CGUCUAGAUUUAAAAUGUAGCAUCUAUUGCAGUGUGUCACAGCACCAUGGAUUGUAUCUUCCAGGGGGCUCAUAAACUUGUUACAGCCUUUCUGAAGGAAGCAAGGCACACUUGUCCACAAUGCUUCCCCAAAAGCCCAGUGUGAGAUCUCACUCUUGUACUGCAAUCCUUCAAGACCUCUGUUUAUGACCCAAUGUUGGAUGUCAAAAUGAAAUGGAUCCUCUCUUUUUACCUGGCAAUUACUUCAACAAAAAGUUUGGAAGAACUGCAUGCCUUGCAGGCCACAUGAUUCUGGAGUGACCUUGUGGCUGAAGGGGUUUUAAAAUCUUUUCACCCAUUUUGUUAACCAAUCUAUUGAUCUCACAGCAUUCCAUGGAAGGGAACCGUUUGAGGAAAGAAACAGGGAGUCUAAAUAGGGAGUGUCUAAAUAGAGACUGCCCCACUGGGUGGUGGAUGUUGCCAGGGCAAUACCAUGACAUUCCACUAUAAGAGGAGCAUCUCCACCUCCUGGGCAUUACUUAGAUGUCUGCUGCUCCAGGAAGUCCCUGGUGGAAAAUCAGGGAGAAGGUUCCAUGGAAACUUAUAACAAUGGUAUUUACAUCAAAUAUUACAUCGUAUGGUCACUUUGUGACUUUGUUGAAGGUGUUCGGAAUGCGUGUGAGAGCGCCCAAAAUGUAUCUGGGUUAUUCUCACUGCUCCUGUUAUUCACAGAACCACACUUACAUACAUAAAUAGUCAUUAGUAACACUUACUAUUAUACUAGUAGUCCUACAAUUCAUCAAUUAAAUCAUAACAAAUUAGAAAAAAGUGGAACAUUUCAAUAUAAUGUGGUUAUGUCUGUGGUUAUGACUGUAUGUGUGAUGUGUUGCAGGAAUGACACAGGGAUAUUUGUUUCUGAGAUAAGUCAGGGAGGGGUGGUUGAGUCAGAUGGGAGACUCUCACUUGGUGAUCAGAUUCUGUCAGUAAAUGGAGAGGACAUCAGAGCUGUGACUCAAGACUACGCCCGCACACUACUACAGAACUGCAGUGGAUCAGUGGUGCUGGAGGUAGCACGUUUUAGAGCUACUCCACAUUAUUCAUAUGAGUGCCAGAAUAAUCUACCAGGUUGUUGAUUUGAAUUCCUCCGCUUUCCAUCUCCUGCUUCUUGUUACUGUAAGUGCAUCUCACACAUUAAAGUCCAUGUCUAUGGUUACCAAAAUCAUUUUGAAAUGAAUAUGACUGACUAAUCAACAAUCAUCACUGACAUUUACAGCUUUGGAAAGGAAUGUAGUAGAAACGUGGAGCCUGUCUCCGGCAAACGCCUGGUGCCGCUGAGGGAUGAGCAGGAGAAUCGUCAGGAGAAUCACACACUCAGGAGCGUUGGAGAAUUUGAGACGCUCCAGUGGCAUCACACACAUCACACUGUCAUAUGGUCAUAUUUUAAAUCUUGAUAGAAUGCAGUUUCAGCUGUGUGGUGGACAAUUUAAAAAAAGAGUGAAAAUAUGGUUUAAAAAAUCCACCUUUACAUUUCACCAUAUAGGUUAAAAAUCUAUAUUUCUAUCUGUUAUUUCACUUAAAGCCCUUACAAUCUCAGAAAUUGUUAGUGGGUGCACAUUUACCGUUCCUCAUUCCUAUUACUGUACACAUUUUCCUAUGAGCUUCACUGUUGGUUCUAAAUAAUUCACAGUGGUUACUAACUAAAAUGCUUCAAGAUGAAUAACUAAAGCUGUGUGCGCUUUGCGCACAAGCAAAGGAUUCUGGGACCCUAUUCUGUCUUCUACACUUUAUAAUCAAGAAGUGAAAUCUGUAACAGAGCAUCCAUCCAGUGUGUAGCUCGUCUAUUAAAAUUCUGCAAGUUGUCGUUUGGUAGAAAUAGUCUGAAAUAUGGUGUGAACUGGAAACGGAUACAACUAGAAAGUCUUUCAUACGACAAGAGCUUGCAUAUUAAAACCAGAACAUCAUGUUGGAUCAGUUUUACACAUAAACUUCUUUUUUACCCAGUAUAUAAAGCACAGUCCAAAGUUUCUAAUUAGUGAGUGGAAAUAAUGAGAAAUACUCCAAAUUUGUAUUUCACUGUAGACCAUCUGUAACAAUCAGCCAAUCAACUCUUGCAGACUCGUGUUGUUCAGUGGGAGAAGACAACUCUACAUUCAACUCUACUCUAUCACUAUAUUUUUCAUCUUCGCUUCACUUUACUUAAGGCAGAAAUGAAUGUGAAGUGCUUCACUAACUAAUCACACUGUUCAGUAGGAUUAUUGCUGAAGCAAACACUUGGAGAAGUUAGACUCCUUAGGAGAAAGUAGGAUUGAACUUCAUUUAUUUUUGUAAGUACGUUUUAUAUUUAUCCCAAGCUUACCUACUUCAGCUGGACUGACACUGUGCAUCAUUCUUUGUCAUUUUGCCAUAUCUGCGAUUGCAUAGAAUACCAUUGUAAUCCUUAGAAUGGAGAAAUCUUGUUUUUGCUCAUGUUAUGAACAGUUUAAGUAAUGUGUUAUUUUUGAAAAAUCUAUAUAUUUAAGUCAUGACUUACUGCUAUAAAAAUUAUGUAUUCACAUAUAUUUUUAUAAGUAUGACACCUCUGUCUACUGCCCUUUACAUUUUAAUUAUCUCAAUAAAUCAGAUUUGGAAUUGAUUUAUAAUCUACAUUUAUUUAUUUGAUAGAUGAAUUUAUCUAUCACUCACAACUGAAAGAAAUGCAAUCACAGCAUUCACACAACGGAGAUGUUGCCAAAAGGGUCUUCAAAUUAACUUAGAACCCUAAGCACUGAGCUACCACACACACACACACACACACACUUUAUCUGAUACACCAUUUACUUACAAUCAUAUCACUGCCAAUUACUGCCUGUAGUCCAGAGGAUCCUGAACUGGAGGGUCACAAGCCCAUUUGGGGUCACUUGAUUUACAGAUGGGGUCAUGGGUGAAACUCCUCGUUAUUUUUUAUUCAUUUAUUUAUUUAAUAAUUAACAUCAGAAUUAACGCUCUAAAUAUGAAAAUGGAUUUUGCAUGCUACCAUUUUGAAAUGCUACUACAAGCCAGUCAAACAAUGCACAUUUAAGAGUGUACUAAAAUGCUAUUUUAGUCUUUCUCCGCUAACCUGACUGCACUAGCAUAGGAGUUCAGCAAUUAAAAACAGACAUUUUCCCAUCCAUCUACCUCAGCUAGUUCCUCAACAAUAUGGAGUGACUCUGACUCAUUGGAAGUAACAAAAAGACAAGCAAAUGAACACGAAAAUAUGCUGAAACCUUUAUUAAAUAUGGCUUUAUAUGAAACCAGUGUAGUUCAUUAGUUCCUUCCUUGAAUUACAUGCUAUAAAGUAUAAAACAGGACAAGGUGUGCUGUUAUAGGAAAAUAAUCAACGACAGAGUGGAUGCUGAUUCUUUAUACCACAGUGCUAUUGACUUCCUAUUGGUCAGAAGGUGCUGAUUAAUUCCCCAUUCCAGCAGCUCUGAUAGCAGAUUCAGCUGCAAGUUAA